GGCCGCAGUAUUUUAACUGUGCAAAGGUAGCAUAAUCAUUAGUCUUUUAAUUGAAGGCUGGAAUGAAUGGUUGGACAAAAUAUUAACUGUUUCAUAAUAAAUUUAUAAUAGAAUUUUAUUUUUUAGUCAAAAAGCUAAAAUUUAUUUAAAAGACGAGAAGACCCUAUAAAUCUUUAUAUUUAUUUUAUUAUAAUUUUGUAUAAAAUUUUAAUUAUAAUAUUUAGUAAUAUUUUAUUGGGGUGAUAUUAAAAUUUAAUAAACUUUUAAUUUAAUAUUUCAUUAAUUUAUGAAUAAUUGAUCCGUUAUUAACGAUUAAAAAAAUAAGUUACUUUAGGGAUAACAGCGUAAUUUUUUUGGAGAGUUCAUAUUAAUAAAAAAGAUUGCGACCUCGAUGUUGGAUU
rnacentral:rRNA from 1 species